GUUGGUUAUGUGUGCCCAAGCAUUGAGGCAGUCAGAGUAGGUAAAUCCGCUUUGAUAAUGCUGGGAUGUGAUGGGGAGCGAAAUUUAGUAGCGCAGUAGCUGAUUUCACACUGUCAAGAAAAGUCUCUAUCGAGGUUAAAGGUACCCGUACCGCAAACCGACACAGGUGGGUGAGGAGAGUAUCCUAAGGCCCGCGAGAGAACUGUUGUUAAGGAACUCGGCAAAAUGACCCCGUAACUUAGGGAUAAGGGGUGCCACCA
rnacentral:rRNA from 1 species